GAUGAAGAACGCAGCGAAAUGCGAUAAGUAAUGUGAAUUGCAGAAUUCAGUGAAUCAUCGAAUCUUUGAACGCACAUUGCGCCCCCUGGUAUUCCGGGGGGCAUGCCUGUUCGAGCGUCAUUUCACCACUCAAGCCUCGCUUGGUAUUGGGCAACGCGGUCCGCCGCGUGCCUCAAAUCGACCGGCUGGGUCUUCUGUCCCCUAAGCGUUGUGGAAACUUUCGCUAAAGGGUGUUCGGGAGGCUACGCCGUAAAACAACCCCAUUUCUAAGGUUGACCUCGCAUCAGGUAGGGAUACCCGCUGAACUUAAGCAUAUCAAUAAGCGGAGGA
rnacentral:misc_RNA from 1 species